CCUACGGGGGGCAGCAGUGAGGAAUAUUGGUCAAUGGACGAGAGUCUGAACCAGCCAAGUAGCGUGAAGGAUGACUGCCCUAUGGGUUGUAAACUUCUUUUAUAUGGGAAUAAAAUGUUCCACGUGUGGGAUUUUGUAUGUACCAUAUGAAUAAGGAUCGGCUAACUCCGUGCCAGCAGCCGCGGUAAUACGGAGGAUCCGAGCGUUAUCCGGAUUUAUUGGGUUUAAAGGGAGCGUAGGUGGAUUGUUAAGUCAGUUGUGAAAGUUUGCGGCUCAACCGUAAAAUUGCAGUUGAAACUGGCAGUCUUGAGUACAGUAGAGGUGGGCGGAAUUCGUGGUGUAGCGGUGAAAUGCUUAGAUAUCACGAAGAACUCCGAUUGCGAAGGCAGUUCACUGGACCGCAACUGACACUGAGGCUCGAAAGUGUGGGUAUCAAACAGGAUUAGAUACCCGGGUAGUC
rnacentral:rRNA from 1 species